UCCGGCUUAUCACCGGCAGUCCCUCUAGAGUGCCCAACUAAAUGAUGGCAACUAAAGGCGAGGGUUGCGCUCGUUGCGGGACCUAACCCAACAUCUCACGACACGAGCUGACGACAGUCAUGCAGCACCUGUGUCCAAGUCCCCGAAGGGAAGGAGCCCGUCUCCGGACACCGUCCUGCCAUGUCAAGGGCUGGUAAGGUUCUUCGCGUUGCAUCGAAUUAAGCCACAUGCUCCGCCGCUUGUGCGGGCCCCCGUCAAUUCCUUUGAGUUUUAGCCUUGCGGCCGUACUCCCCAGGCGGGGCGCUUAAUGCGUUAGCUACGGCACGGAUCCCGUGGAAGGAAACCCACACCUAGCGCCCAACGUUUACGGCGUGGACUAC
rnacentral:misc_RNA from 1 species